rnacentral:lncRNA from 1 species
UACAACUCAAACAAAUGAUGUUAGAAGGGACAAGAGCCCUCUAAAAGGUGCCCAGAACAUGAGCUCUGGACACAGAACAAAACCAUCUUCUCAAUCUCCAAUGGAUGCUUUUGAGAACAUCUUGCCAAAGAUGCAGACUAACAAACCUUCUUACUCUGAAGAAUCUGGUGGCAGCAGUGGUUUUCAAAGUUCUGACACAGUUGGAAGAAAUAUCUCGGGAAAAUUUUCAGAGUCCAAUGAACAAUGGGAUACAGCAGAUGAUGUAUGGCUUACUGUUGAUGAGGUUCCCCUCUUCACUCAACCUACUACUGCUCUGCCACCUUCUAGGCCACCACCUCCACUCGUGAUCAAUCAAGCUCCUUCUAGUGCUACUGUGACAAGAAAGG